CUCCAGAUAAGGUUUCCCAUGGCAAAAGCCAGUAAGACCCCUGGCAGACUACCAGGUAGAUAGGCCGGGCGUGUAAGCGCAGCAAUGCGUUUAGCGGACCGGUACUAAUCGGUCGAGGGCUUGACCUGA
rnacentral:rRNA from 1 species